rnacentral:rRNA from 1 species
UACGGAGGGUGCAAGCGUUAUCCGGAUUCACUGGGUUUAAAGGGUGCGUAGGCGGCUUGUUAAGUCAGGAGUGAAAGUUUGCGGCUCAACCGUAAAAUUGCUUUUGAUACUGGCAGGCUAGAAUUAGGAUGAGGUUAGCGGAAUGUGGCAUGUAGCGGUGAAAUGCAUAGAUAUGCCAUAGAACACCAAUUGCGAAGGCAGCUGGCUAGACCUAUAUUGACGCUGAGGCACGAAAGCGUGGGGAGCGAACAGG